GAUGAACGCUGGCGGCGUGCCUAAUACAUGCAAGUCGAGCGAACAGACGAGGAGCUUGCUCCUCUGACGUUAGCGGCGGACGGGUGAGUAACACGUGGAUAACCUACCUAUAAGACUGGGAUAACUUCGGGACACCGGAGCUAAUACCGGAUAAUAUAUUGAACCGCAUGGUUCAAUAGUGAAAGACGGUUUUGCUGUCACUUAUCGAUGGAUCCGCGCCGCAUUAGCUAGUUGGUAAGGUAACGGCUUACCAAGGCAACGAUGCGUAGCCGACCUGAGAGGGUGAUCGGCCACACUGGAACGGAGACACGGUCCAGACUCCUACGGGAGGCAGCAGUAGGGAAUCUUCCGCAAUGGGCGAAAGCUUGACGGAGCAACGCCGCGUGAGUGAUGAAGGUCUUCGGAUCGUAAAACUCUGUUAUUAGGGAAGAACAAAUGUGUAAGUAACUAUGCACGUCUUGACGGUACCUAAUCAGAAAGCCACGGCUAACUACGUG
rnacentral:rRNA from 1 species